UCCGGUAGAGGCCGAACUAACGCUGCUACCGGUACGAUAACGCGAGUGACGAUCAACCUUUUGCAGCAGAGCAACAAGGCAAACAAACCCCCUUGAUCAUUCUGAUAGCACCCAUUCUUUCUCCCUCAUGCUUGCAUUUAUUUUUCUAUUGUUGUAGAUAGCUCCUAUUCUGAUGCAUAACCUAUUUUGUUAAAACUGCUAUUGUACCCUACUGCAUAUUAAAUGCUUAGUAUAGAUUGAUUAGUGAUCUGCAGUGACCCCACUUAGCCCUAGUCGCCCUUGCUUCAUCAUCGAAGACUCGACGACUAGAAGACUUGAAGACUCGACCAACUGAUCGACAAGCCAUGACCCAUCACAUCACCUCACACCCCCU
rnacentral:lncRNA from 1 species